UACGUAGGGCGCAAGCGUUAUCCGGAAUUAUUGGGCGUAAAGAGCUCGUAGGCGGUUUGUCGCGUCUGCCGUGAAAGUCCGGGGCUCAACUCCGGAUCUGCGGUGGGUACGGGCAGACUAGAGUGUGGUAGGGGGAGACUGGAAUUCCUGGUGUAGCGGUGAAAUGCGCAGAUAUCAGGAGGAACACCGGUGGCGAAGGCGGUUCUCUGGGCAUUACCUGACGCUGAGGAGCGGAAGUGUGGGGAGCGAACAGG
rnacentral:rRNA from 1 species